CUGACGGGGGGCCGCUGAUUCAGUCUCAACCCUCGAACUUAACCACGGGGUUAAAAUGCCCCGACGCUCUAGAAGGACGACAAGACCCUAUAAAACUUUACUACCCCUUUCUAACCCCCUAAGACCAUUUCUAAAAUAAGACGUAGUUUAGCUGGGGCGGCCAACCCUCUCCGGGACCGCAACCUAACACCGUGCGUGAUCUCUCGAACAUAAAUAUAUAGAAAGACCAAGUUACUUUAGGGAUAACAGCGCAAUAAUUUCGAAGAGCCCCUAUCGAUGAAGUUGUUUGCGACCUCGAUGUUGAAUUGGAGCCCUGCUCGGAGCAGCCUCUGAGAAUAGGAGGUCUGUUCGACCUUUAACCCUCCACAUGAU
rnacentral:rRNA from 1 species